rnacentral:rRNA from 1 species
AUUGAACGCUGGCGGCAGGCCUAACACAUGCAAGUCGAACGGUAACAGGAAGAAGCUUGCUUCUUUGCUGACGAGUGGCGGACGGGUGAGUAAUGUCUGGGAAACUGCCUGAUGGAGGGGGAUAACUACUGGAAACGGUAGCUAAUACCGCAUAACGUCGCAAGACCAAAGAGGGGGACCUUCGGGCCUCUUGCCAUCGGAUGUGCCCAGAUGGGAUUAGCUAGUAGGUGGGGUAACGGCUCACCUAGGCGACGAUCCCUAGCUGGUCUGAGAGGAUGACCAGCCACACUGGAACUGAGACACGGUCCAGACUCCUACGGGAGGCAGCAGUGGGGAAUAUUGCACAAUGGGCGCAAGCCUGAUGCAGCCAUGCCGCGUGUAUGAAGAAGGCCUUCGGGUUGUAAAGUCCUUUCAGCGGGGAGGAAGGGAGUAAAGUUAAUACCUUUGCUCAUUGACGUUACCCGAAGAAGAAGCACCGGCUAACUCCGUG